AUUCUUCCCAGAUUAUAUUGGAAAUACACUAUUUCAAACAAUGAGGCUCAAAAGUCUCGAAAGCGCAUUAAUAGCUCCAUUGCUACAUUUGUCAUCAAAAAUGGUGGUGUCUCUGUGAAGUACCCUGAAAUUACUGCUUCACAUACACGUUUGUUUCUGAAAGAUGGUGUUCACCUUUCUGUUGAAGGUAAUAGACAAUUUCUUGGAACAUUGCAAGCUAAAUUAAAGCAGCUGAUAUGAUAUUCUAUUAAUUGGGGUAAUGUCAUGGUUCUGAUUUAUUUUUUGUUUGUGUUCAAAUUGGUUUGCUAUGGUGGCAAACACUGCUUUGGUGGCAGUUUUUAUUGCAUUGCUUUGGUGGCAACAAUUGUGUUGCUUUGAUGGCAACAACUGCUAUGGUAGCAGUUUAUAUAUAUAUAUAUAUAUUUGAAAUCCAAGUGGCGGAAUUUUGCUAUCUAGAGAGCCAUUCACUGUUGGAUACUGUCAUUUCCAGGUCCUUUGCUGGUGUGGUUUUCUACUCACUUUUGAUAUGCAGCCAAAAAGCUUAUGGAAAGCUCGGCGCAUCUGUUGUAUGUUUAAUUGAUUCAUUAAAGCCAUAACAUUUACCCAAAUCAAGAACUUGUUCUGUUCUGUAUUAAUGCCAUAUAGGUUUCUGAUCAAGAUGUCUGACCGUCCUUGAAACUUCCUUUUUUUCUUUCUAGUGAGAAUUCUUUUGGAGAUAAAUGAAAUUGACUAUUGUAUACUUGCAGGCCCUUCUACCAAACACUCGCUUUGUAUGGUCCCAAAUACUCCCAAGAAACUAUUAUAGACACAUGCUCUCAAACACUGCAGGUGAGAAAGCCCGGAUAAGAAUUAACAAGUCAAUAGCCCCAUUCAUAGUACAGCGUAAUGGUGCAUACAUUAAAUACCCAGAUCUCCAGCAAUGUACCCCAAUUUUAUAUCGUGAUGGAACACAUCUGUCCAAUACUGCUCAGGUUAUAUUUGUAAACGCCACACGUGAGUGAUUGCUCAAUAUUGUACAUAGCAACGCCAAAGUUUACCUCCAGCUAGAUGCACAGUCUCCCUGUCAUGGCAUUGGUGCAAAAGUUUGCCCGCUUUUGGCAGAUGUCUUCAUGUAUGCAUAUUUCCGUGAGGAUCCGGGUUAGAAUAGGUCCUCAGUACCCCUUGCUUGUCAUAAGAGGCGACUAAAUGGGGCGGUUCUUCGGAUAAGACCGCAAAAACCGAGGCCCCGUGUCACAGCAGGUGUGGCACGAUAAAGGUCCCUCCCUGCUCAAAGGCCGUAAGCGCCGAGCAUAGGCCUAAAUUUUUCAGCCCUUCACCGGCAGUGGUGACUUCUCCAUAUGAGUGAAAUAUUCUCGAGAGGGACGUUAAACAAUAUUUAAUCAAUCAUGUAUGCACAUUCUUGAUCAUAAAUGAAGACAUGGCCGAAUUUUGCUUAAGCCUGCCCCGGAUUCUGUUUUCUUCCAGGUCCGUGGCCAAUAAUUGGGCUUAUUUUGAUUGACAUAUUGAUUGAAUAUAUUGACUGAUUGAAAACAUUGACACCCUGGUUGAUUGUUAUAUUGAGUGAUUGAAAUAUUGAUUGAUUUGAAGUGUUGUUGGAUUGAAAUAUUGAUUGAUUGAUCACGUUAUUGAGCAUUGAUCUUACGUCAUAACUACCAAAGUCGAUGUAGAUCAUGCAUUGUAGUUUAAUGACUUAUUAUAUAAUACAAUAAUAUAGUGAGGUAGAAUAGUGAUUGUGAAAUGAAUUUAACUUGUAUUGUAUUACUCAAGUAAAGCCAUGACAGAGACUGCCAACAUUGUGUUGUUGAUGAGUAGAUCAAAUAUUUGUUGCGUGGCUGAAAAGGCAUAACUCUUGCAAUCUUAUCAUUUUCACCUUUUGACACUACCCCUUUACCAUCUUGCCACUUUUGACACUACCCCUCCUAAUGCACAUAUAUAUAUUACGGGCGCGCCAAUUUCAAAUCCUUUCUAGAAUCCAUCCAAACAAAAUUUUCAACCCACCCCCAAAAUUUUGAUAGGUAUUCAAUUUAAUAAUUUUACAUCGGGUUUCUGCUGUUCUUUUUAUGUAUUUUUCAGAUACACAUUGUCACGAGUGAGCUAACAUACCAAAGCGCCAUGGCUUUUCAACGAAAUACUUGCAGUGGUGUAAUCCGCAAGUGCCGAAUUUUGCUAAAGCCUGCCCCGAUUCUGUUUUCUUUCAGGUCCGUGGCCAAUAAUUGGGCUUAUUUUGAUUGACACAUUGAUUGAAUAUAUUGACUGAUUGAAAACAUUGAUACACUGGUUGAUUAUUAUAUUGAGUGAUUGCAACAUUGAUUGAUUUGAAGUGUUGUUGGAUUGAAAUAUUGAUUGAGUGAUCGCUUUAUUGAGCAUUGAUCUUACGUCAUAACUACCAAAGUCGAUGUAGAUCAUGCAUUGUAGUUUAAUGACUUAUUAUAUAAUACAAUAAUAUAGUGAAGUGGAAUAUUAUUGUUGAAAUGAAUUUAACUUGUAUUGUAUUACUCAAGUAAAGCCAUGACAAAGACUGCCAACAUUGUGUUGUUGAUCUAUUCUAUUGAAAUAAUGAAUUAUUUACGUGCCAUCACGCGGAGUAAAUGCAAUGUAACUUAAUCUGUUGUAUUGAAUUUUACUUAUAAAUAUAACUGGUCGGAGAUGCCAUUCCCAAGCUAAAUCAGGUGGACGUUCAAGAUGACCAUCGGGCUUUAUUGUUUGUGUUGGUUGUGUACUUCAAUUGUACUGGCCUGUUCGACGAAAGCUGACAAAUGCAAGCCUCCAUUUCAUAUUUAUGAGAGAAACUGUUAUUACAUCAGCAGAGACAAAGUUUCCGCAGACGAAGCAUUUCUCGAUGUAGCCGUAUGGGGGCGUAUCUGGCUAACUUCGAAACACUGGAGGAAGCGAUGUUGAUGAAACAGAAAUUGAAGAGGAUGAAUUCAGGUCUCCAUUUCUACGUCGGUGGAAGGAACAUAAACAGGAGGCAAUCAGGAGGAGACUGGAGGUGGAUCAGAAACGGAAAAAUGGUUAAGAUGACGUAUCAUGCGUUUGGUUCCGGAGAACCUAACGGAAGUGACAGAUCUCCAGAAGACUGCAUGUUCUUUUACGCAGGAGAGCGCUACACAUUUCAUAACGUCUUCUGCGACAAUGGGACUUACCAUAGUGGAUACAUUUGUGAAAAAUAAAAGUUUGAAAUGAG